rnacentral:lncRNA from 1 species
GUGUGUGUCUGUCUCAAGCCAGGAGCCUGUAAUUCAGUGGUUGUCGUUUGUUUAUGUGUUAUAUAUUUGUUUUCCGUUCAUUUUUUUUUUUUUACAUAAAUGAGGCCGCUAGUUUUCUUUCCGUUUGAAUUGUUUUACAUUGUCUAUCGGGGCCUUUUAUAGCUGACUAUGCGGUAUUGGCUUUGCUCAUUGUUGAAGGCCGUACGGUGACCUAUAGUUGUUAAUGUCUGUGUCAUUUUGGUCUUUCGUGGAUAGUUGUCUCAUUGGCAAUCAUACCACAUCUUCUUUUUAAUAUAAAUGGUAUGGGUUUUCCUAUUGUUGAAAGCCGUUAAGUUGCAUCCACUUCAGUUAGGCUUCGUGGAGAGUUGUCUCUUUGGCGAUCAUACUACAUCUCCUUUUUUAUUUACAAAAAUGCCUGGGCUCUCUCUUGCAUUACAAUUACAUGGUGGUGGUCUAGAAUAUAGAUUAAUCAAACAUAAGUGAAUAAUUGUCAUUCAUAAAUUAUUACAAGUUUCAUUCUUCAACUUUCUAACAUAGAAAGUCGAUUCAUAAUUCACUUUAAAAGCUAUACUUGUAAUGUUGAGUAAAUAGUUAUCAAAG